rnacentral:rRNA from 1 species
AACGAACGCUGGCGGCAUGCCUAACACAUGCAAGUCGAACGAGACCUUCGGGUCUAGUGGCGCACGGGUGCGUAACGCGUGGGAACCUGCCCUUAGGUUCGGAAUAACUCCCCGACAGGGGUGCUAAUACCGGAUAAUUUCUUCGGACCAAAGAUUUAUCGCCUUUGGAUGGGCCCGCGUUGGAUUAGCUAGUUGGUAGGGUAAAAGCCUACCAAGGCGACGAUCCAUAGCUGGUAUGAGAGGAGGAUCAGCCACACUGGGACUGGGACACGGCCCAAAUUCCGACGGAAGGCAGCAGGGGGGAAAAAGGAACAAUGGGCGAAAGCCUAAGCCAGCAAGGCCGCGUAGGUGAUGAGGGCGUAAGGAUUGUAAGGCUCUUUACACGGGAUGAUAAUGACAGUACCGGGAGAAUAAGCUCCGGCUAACUCCGUG